rnacentral:rRNA from 1 species
ACGAUAAAGCGGGUGAAAAGCCCGCUCGCCGGAAGACCAAGGGUUCCUGUCCAACGUUAAUCGGGGCAGGGUGAGUCGACCCCUAAGGCGAGGCCGAAAGGCGUAGUCGAUGGGAAACAGGUUAAUAUUCCUGUACUUGGUGUUACUGCGAAGGGGGGACGGAGAAGGCUAUGUUAGCCGGGCGACGGUUGUCCCGGUUUAAGCAUGUAGGCUGAUUGUCCAGGCAAAUCCGGAUAAUCAAGGCUGAGGUGUGAUGACGAGGCACUACGGUGCUGAAGUAACAAAUGCCCUGCUUCCAGGAAAAGCCUCUAAGCAUCAGGUAACAUUAAAUCGUACCCCAAACCGACACAGGUGGUCAGGUAGAGAAUACCAAGGCGCUUGAGAGAACUCGGGUGAAGGAACUAGGCAAAAUGGUGCCGUAACUUCGGGAGAAGGCACGCUGGUGUGUAGGUGAAGUCCCUGCGGAUGGAGCUGAGACCAGUCGAAGAUACCAGCUGGCUGCAACUGUUUAUUAAAAACACAGCACUGUGCAAACACGAAAGUGGACGUAUACGGUGUGAC